CGCCAUCAUCGCGCCUGCUCGGUCAGUCGUGAGUCGUCUGCCUGUCGUAGCGUGUCGUUCUCGCGCGUGUAUAUCUCGGCAGGGCUCGAAAAUUCGUGCGAGCACGCGGACAAAUUCGUGCGCACGGUCGCGAACGUCUGCUCCGUAGCGGAAGCUGAACGCGAACUAGGUUAUCCGUGUCGUUCUCCCAGGGGGAUCGUCCUCUCGCACGCCGUGAACCGCUGCGACCGCAGGCGCGUCGACCUGCGGACCUGCAGGAGAUCUGACAGCGAGCGGCGGACGGGCACAGUCGAAGAUGUGCGGCGGCUUUACGUGCUCGAAAAAUGCGCUGACAGCACUCAACAUCCUCUACAUCGUUGUUGCCUUUAUAUUAAUAGGAGUCGCUGUAUAUGGCAGGGCAUCCGCCUUAGUCACAAAUCUCCCUAUUAUAGGUGGUAUUUUAGCAUGCGGAGUGAUCCUGUUCCUCAUUUCUAUACUGGGCCUGAUCGGUGCCGUUAAACACCAUCAGGUCUUGCUGUUCUUUUACAUGCUUAUCUUAUUCCUUUUGUUCCUGAUUCAAUUCAGUAUCGCCUGCGCCUGCCUUGCUGUCAAUACUAAGCAGCAAGAACAACUUGCAGAACAGGGCUGGAAACAUGUUGGAUCUGACUUAAGGAUGAAAGUUCAAACUACCUUUAACUGUUGUGGAUUUAAUAGCACUAAUGAUGAACCUGGUGUACCUUGCGAAGAAGUCAAUAAAAUCUGUUGUCAAACCCUCAGUGUCGAUCAAAUAUCUUGUCCGCCUUGUCCAACGUGUAUGCAUAAGCUACAAUCGACUAUUGACUAUGCGUUCAAAUUAUGUGGCAGUAUAGGAUUGUUCUUUAGCUUUACAGAGUUUGUUGGUGUAUGGUUGACCGUGAGGUACCGGAACCAGAAAGAUCCACGAGCUAAUCCUAGUGCUUUUCUCUAGUCUAACACCAUCGCCAUGUCCUCUGUCACUUCAUACGAUCCUCCUAACAGAUGGUGAUCGCAGCUUUCUUGGCAAGACAUUACCGUAAUCAAUUAGAUCCACAGGAAAAAGCUGCAAGAGCUAUUUUUCCGCAGCACAAUUAUUUAUAUUGAUUUGACGAUACAUUCCAACUGAAAAUUAAUAAUCUUUUUUUUAUUGGUAUUAUGAUUUUUGUCGAUAUGAAGAGGACAAAUGUCUGAAAUUAAUUUUAUUUUUGAUUGCCUGAAUAUGUUGUGCAACAUAUUUUCCAAGGGCUAGAUUUAAAAAACUUUUCUUUUUAAUACUUUAAUUCUUUUUAUUAUACAUAAUGCUCAAUAGUGACAGAAGUUAAUACAUUUUUAACUGGGCAAUCAUAGGUUUUAGAAUGAGUUAGACAAAUAACUGAAAUGUGUGCUCUAGUCAUAUACUUAGAACACUCAUAACAAGCCUCAAUGCGCCUUGUAGUCUAGUGACAGAAAACAUCACGUGAGUAUAAAUUUCUAUUAAAUUUUGUUGCAUUAUUUUUCUGCAAUAGUUUGAGGAUAAUGGAAGUUGACGAUGAAAAUCUAGUACACUAUUAUAAUUGUAUCAUUUGGUUCUACAAUUCAGAUAAACUACAACAUUUAAAGCCAUUCUAAAAAAUGUGAAAUGAUAUAAAAAGAACGGUAUAAAGUAAUAUCCAUUUUUUAAAAUAUAUUUUCAUGAAAAAAUGUAGUUUAUUAUGUUAAAAGCAUAGAUAACAUCCAUGAUCUUGUCAAUCAUAUUUUUCUCCCACAUAUAAAUGAACCAUAUUAGAUAUAUAUAUAAUUAUAUUCAGUAAUAUCUAGAAAUUUACAUCUUCCGAGUAAAAAUUCUGUCAUAUCAUCUUUGAGUACUUUUAGACAACUUUAUAAUAUUUUUAUGCCUGCGAAGAGAUUGUUUUUAUAUUUUAAAAUAUUUUAUAGUGUGUUACGAUAUAACUUCUGUUAUAUGAAAUUGUAAUCAAAAUCGGAAGAGAAAUUGUAAUAUAAUCUUACAACAAACCAUAUCUGAUGAAACUUGGCUUACUUUUGACAGCUGUCGUACACUCGCUUAUGAUAUCGUAUGAUGGAAAAUCGUAUGAUAAGAAAUUAUACUUGAAAUGUAUAAACUAUCGAAUUAUUUAUCCUAUGAUAAUGCGCCGUCAGCGAGAUAAUCGUAUUUCAAGUUUCAUCCACGAAAAAUAUCCAAUACGAGCGCUUUGCUUGAAAUUAAAUUCUAUGCUGAUUGUGCACUCUAAGAAAAUUUACGCAUAAUAAGCUGAAUAUAAGACGUCCUAAACAGCCUGGUGGGAAGUUAUUAAAGAACUUUAUAAUAGUCUCGCUUUCUUGCAUAAUGUAGAGUUCCUAAUGGACUACUCGUCGUGGGCUUUUAAGCUUUUGCGGUCGUAAGGAGGAGACGAAGGGGGAAUAUUUAAAUCAUCUUGUCGAAUAUCAUUAGACUUACGACCGUACGAAUUUAAUAGUAGCGAAAAUUGUAUUUUAUUUGCGAUAAAAAAUGAAAUUUAUUGAAUGACGUCUUGAAUAAGAUAAUAUCCUUCCAGGUUUUUUCGGACAAAAUUUAUAUAUUAUAGAUAAAACUUUACGAAAGACACGUGUUGUGAAUUUAAUGUGCAUGAAAAUAUUGUUUACAUUGUGCCCUAUUCUAGGUAUUAGAGAAUGUAGCAUAUUUUCUAUCUAAUCUCAUUGCGUGAGAUGCAGAUGGGACGAAUCUCGCCAUAAUUACAUUUCCGAGAGUCUCUCUCUGUCUGAAAAACAGCUGUUAAGAUACAUCGUAGUAUACAUUUAUAGUUACAUCACAUCUUUAAUGUUCAAUAACGAAUCGAACUUGUUGCUCCAUCGCGUUUUAAUUUUAAGAAUACAAUGAAACGAUAAUUGAACAAAAUUCAUGGAAUUCGUUAUUGAAUAUAAAAACGAUAAAAUCGUAGUUUAACGAAUCGCACAUUUGACGAAUUUUUUUUUUUUAAUAUUUGUGGAAUAUAUGUCACUUUGACGAAUUACCCAAUAUCGUUUUAACGAACGAUUCGAGUCCGCGCAAAUUUACGAAGUUAUGCCAGUCACGUCUCACGAAUAGUGGAAAGUUACCCGCGGAUAUAUCUUCCUAUGUAAGCGUACGAAAUAAAAAUAACGUAAACAUUCCAAUUUUUAUGCGCCUCUUCCCUCUGGCUUUGGUAGAAAACGUGCAUGUAUUUUGCGCGUGCACGGAAUUGAGGACUCGAAUAUAUGGUAUGAAAAGUAUAUACGGUAGUAUAAUUCCUAUACAAUAUUUUUACCUAAAAAAAGAAAUACGUAUCGUAACCAAUCUACUCGUAAUUAGACAAAUCACUGUACGUAUGUCCUGAGAGCUGAAAACAAUCGAGAAAUGCGUAUGUAUAGGAGCGAUUUACACGCAUCUCUGCGUAACUGAAAGAUAGAACUACGUAAGCCACGCCCGAUUAUAUUAUAUGUAUAAUGUAGUGCGUGCGUGAGAGAGGAAUCUCUUGAAAUCAAAAUCUGAUGUGGGAAGACUUGAAUGACAAUCCUAAGUGACGGAAAUCAUAUAUUGUACACGUUAGAAAUCAUAUUCGAAUUACAUUCGAUUUAUCUCCUCAUAUCGAAUGUCUUGAUUCUGUACAUCCAUUCUUUGUAACCACGUUACAUCACUCUUUCUGAAGUUAAAAUAAAAAAAAAACGUAAAUAUAUAUAAUUGAGCGUUGUGCGGUGAGACAUAGAAAGUGCAAAGGGCAGCCUCAUGUAUAUCCUCUCCAAAGAAUUCGAGGCAUUGCGCCUGUGACCAAAGGUUCGAAAUUAAUCGGAUUUCGAAAAAGCUACGUUUAAUUCCAAUACUCGUGCAUUCCGCAACGGACGGCAAACAAUCUUGAAUAUGUUAAGAAUGAGGAUUUAAACAAUUCCAAUUAAGAGAGAAAUACAUGUUAUUGUACAACGCUGUAUGUAUCAGGUAUCGAAGAAGUAUCAAGGGCUAAACGAUUGCGGGCUAAACGAUUGCGAGCAAUAAAGUCUCAAUUGUCAGAGCUCUCGCGUAACGAUUAUGAUAAAUAAAUAAAUGAAUGAUGUUUGGA